AACGCAAAUCGCGCUCGAGGCCUCGGCCGAGAGCAUGUCUGCCUCAGCGUCGUCUCAACCCCUCCCCUUCCUUUCCUUUAUGAAAGCAAGGGGGACCUGGUCGUUUCGAUGCUCCGCCAUCGAAUCGGUCGAAAUGCAGAAGGGCCCCUCUCUCACAAAGGGCUUCGAAAGGUAGACGCCUGCGGGCUGACAUCCGAUCGGAGCUCGAGGGCACAGGGCCGCCCUGAAGCCGGAGAGCACACCCACACACUUUGACCUGAGUUCAGGCAAGAACACCCGCUGAACUUAA
rnacentral:misc_RNA from 1 species